rnacentral:rRNA from 1 species
UGGGGAAUAUUGGACAAUGGGCGCAAGCCUGAUCCAGCAACGCCGCGUGGAGGACGAAGGCCUUAGGGUCGUAAACUCCUGUCAGUAGGGACGAAAAAGUAGGGUCGAACAGGCCCUGCCAUUGACGGUACCUGCAGAGGAAGCCCCGGCUAACUCCGUGCCAGCAGCCGCGGUAAUACGGAGGGUGCGAGCGUUAAUCGGAAUUACUGGGCGUAAAGAGCUCGUAGGCGGUCCGUUGCGUCUGCCGUGAAAACCCGGAGCUCAACUCCGGGCCUGCGGUGGAUACGGGCGGACUAGAGUCCGGUAGGGGAGACUGGAAUUCCUGGUGUAGCGGUGGAAUGCGCAGAUAUCAGGAGGAACACCGGUGGCGAAGGCGGGGUCUCUGGGCCGGAACUGACGCUGAGGAGCGAAAGCGUGGGGAGCGAACAGGAUUAGAUACCCUGGUAGUCCACGCCGUAAACGGUGGGCGCUAGGUGUGGGGAUCGUUUGCCACGAUCUCC